UAGGGGGUUUACAUUGUAGAGUCACCUCAGAUGGCGGGAGUGGGAAGACCACAUUUUUGAAAGCCCAUGAUCUGAAAAGUACAGGUAGAGUGGAGCAGGACAGCUCCACCCAGAACCUGGAGGACUUCAGCAAAUACAUAAAUGGCUACGAGGAAAGUGUUGAUGGAUUUAUCCAGGAGUUGGAUAAUCAUGAAUUCUCCGCAGCACAUACUAAACUUAGAAGCAAUAAACCCA